UACGUAGGGUGCAAGCGUUAAUCGGAAUUACUGGGCGUAAAGCGUGCGCAGGCGGUUUUGUAAGUCUGUCGUGAAAUCCCCGGGCUCAACCUGGGAAUUGCGAUGGAGACUGCAAGGCUAGAAUCUGGCAGAGGGGGGUAGAAUUCCACGUGUAGCAGUGAAAUGCGUAGAGAUAUGGAGGAACACCGAUGGCGAAGGCAGCCCCCUGGGUCAAGAUUGGACGCUCAUGCACGAAAGCGUGGGGAGCAAACAGG
rnacentral:rRNA from 1 species